UCGAGGAUCUUCGGCAAUGGGCGCAAGCCUGACCGAGCGACGCCGCGUGGGCGACGAAGGCCUUCGGGUUGUAAAGCCCUGUCGGGGGGGGGAAAGGGCAACUUGAUCCCCCCCAGGAGGAAGCACGGGCUAAGUUCGUGCCAGCAGCCGCGGUAAGACGAACCGUGCGAACGUUGUUCGGAAUCACUGGGCUUAAAGGGCGCGUAGGCGGGCGUCACAGUCCGCGGUGAAAUCCCCCGGCUCAACCGGGGGACGGCCGCGGAUACCAGGCGUCUCGAGGCGGGUAGGGGCGUGCGGAACACUAGGUGGAGCGGUGAAAUGCGUUGAUAUCUAGUGGAACUCCGGUGGCGAAAGCGGCGCGCUGGACCCGAUCUGACGCUGAGGCGCGAAAGCCAGGGGAGCGAACGGGAUUAGAUACCCCCGUAGUCC
rnacentral:rRNA from 1 species